GAUGAACGCUGGCGGCGUGCCUAAUACAUGCAAGUCGAGCGAACGGACGAGAAGCUUUCUUCUCUGAUGUUAGCGGCGGACGGGUGAGUAACACGUGGAUAACCUACCUAUAAGACUGGGAUAACUUCGGGAAACCGGAGCUAAUACCGGAUAAUAUUUUGAACCGCAUGGUUCAAAAGUGAAAGACGCUCUUGCUGUCACUUAUAGAUGGAUCCGCGCUGCAUUAGCUAGUUGGUAAGGUAACGGCUUACCAAGGCAACGAUGCAUAGCCGACCUGACAGGGUGAUCGGCCACAUUGGAACUGAGACACGGUCCAGACUCCUACGGGAGGCAGCAGUAGGGAAUCUUCCGCAAUGGGCGAAAGCCUGAUGGAGCAACGCCGCGUGAGUGAUGAAGGUCUUCGGAUCGUAAAACUCUGUUAGUAGGGAAGAACAAAUGUGUAAGUAACUGGGCACAUCUUGACGGUACCUAAUCAGAAAGCCACGGCUAACUACGUG
rnacentral:rRNA from 1 species